UUUAUAUUCAACUGGGCUCAUCCGCCAUCGGCCUGCCUGCCAAAUUUUCUCUCUAGUUUCAGGAGAAACCAAGGACACCCUUUAAUAAAUAAUUCUUGACAAACAAAUAAAUUCCCAUUGUUCAGCAACAUAAUCUACGGUGAAGAUUCAGAGGCUACAAGUGCAGAUUUGUUAACAUGGGUAUAUUGCAUGAUGCUGAGGCCUGGAAUACAGGUGAUUCCGUCACCCAGGCAAAUUUCUUGAAGUGGAUAAUGCUGGGUCAAAUAUUGACAUUCCAUGGAAGAUUGUCCCAUGUACAUACCAAAAAGAAAAAUAAAAAACCUGGACUGCUGUGUCUCCUAUGACAACUCUUGCUGCUGAAAGAUGUCUCAAGUUAUCCACUGCUAUGUUUCCUUUCCUGUUUUGUGUCCUUCCAAGUGAAGCCAGCACCAAGUACAGCCUACUUAAGUCCCAUUUUGUCUUUUUUUAUCACUCCCUAUUGAAAUAAAGUCCACCCAAAUGAGAGCUGGAAGAAGCUGUUUUCAGAGAUUCAGAGGCAGGCAGAUGACCACAGCAAGAAGAACAGACAGAAAUCCGUAAGGAUAAUUCGUCUAAGCUAAUUAUAGUUAAAGCAUUACUGACUUAUAAAAACUCAGGAUUAUGCUCUCAAAGGCAAUCACAUUUAUAUUAUUUUUAUUUAAAAUAUAUAUUACAUGUAAUAUAAACUAUACACACAAUAUAUUGAACUAUAUGGAAAUUGAAACUGUGAAAUCCCGUACUGGGCUGCACCUCUUUUAUUGACUACUAUUUUCUUACCACAUUUGGUGACACAGCAUACGUGCUCCCAAUCACAUUCAAUGAUUCUUAAUCAGUUCUCCUACCACUCUCCUCCACACACUGACAUAUGCAUCAAUUAUUCAUGGCUAUUAUCCUUUAUUGGCAAAACCUGAUUCAGACAAGAAGCAGCACAUAGUUUCUUCUAUGUGGAAAAAAUAAACUAUUUUUUUAAUAUCAAUAA
rnacentral:lncRNA from 1 species